GUUAUUUUGGCAGAUUAGUGCAAUGGAUUUAGAAUCCUUAUAUAUAGAUAAUACUAUAAAUAAUU
rnacentral:tRNA from 1 species